rnacentral:rRNA from 1 species
AUUGAACGCUGGCGGCAUGCUUUACACAUGCAAGUCGAACGGUAACAGGCCUUCGGGCGCUGACGAGUGGCGAACGGGUGAGUAAUGCAUCGGAACGUGCCCAGUCGUGGGGGAUAACGCAGCGAAAGCUGUGCUAAUACCGCAUACGAUCUGCGGAUGAAAGCGGGGGACCUUCGGGCCUCGCGCGAUUGGAGCGGCCGAUGUCAGAUUAGGUAGUUGGUGGGGUAAAGGCCCACCAAGCCAACGAUCUGUAGCUGGUCUGAGAGGACGACCAGCCACACUGGGACUGAGACACGGCCCAGACUCCUACGGGAGGCAGCAGUGGGGAAUUUUGGACAAUGGGCGCAAGCCUGAUCCAGCAAUGCCGCGUGCAGGAAGAAGGCCUUCGGGUUGUAAACUGCUUUUGUACGGAGCGAAAAGGCUCUCUCUAAUACAGGGGGCUCAUGACGGUACCGUAAGAAUAAGCACCGGCUAACUACGUGCCAGCAGCCGCCGUAACAC